UAAAUUGUCACUUGUUUCUAAUCUCAUUUUCACAUCAAGCUAGCUUUCUUCAGUUUUUCAUUAAUUGAUCCAUGGCAGCAUUCUCAAGAGCUUUUGCACUUCUUCUGCUUCUGGUCUUCAUCACAGAUUUCCAGCAAAUUGCAGGAUUGAUGAGUGGCCCGGCAGCGAGUCCAGUUGCACCACCAGCUAUCAACUGCACGGCAUCAUGCGAUACGCGAUGCAGCGAGACCAAGAGGCCAAAUCUGUGCAAGAGGGCGUGCGGGAGCUGCUGCGGAAAGUGCAAGUGUGUGCCACCAGGCACUUCUGGGAACUAUGAGGCCUGCCCUUGCUACUUCAACCUCAAGACUCAUAACAACACCCGCAAAUGUCCUUAGAUGUUUUCAUAAAUCAUCUAUGAGUGUUUAUAUAUUGUCUUUAUUAGUUUUGGUCUUAACUCUCAUGUAUUGCUGCAUUAAAAUUAAGGUAGCUACCGAAUGAUAAGAAGCUGGAUUUCAUUAUGCAUGAAGUGAAGCAAACUCGGCAGUAUCAGUGUAAUUUUGAGUGAUGAUAUGUGAUAAAUCGACAGAUCAUUAUUUGAGAUAAAAGAGCAGGCUUUUGUUUA